rnacentral:rRNA from 1 species
GUGGGGAAUAUUGGACAAUGGGCGCAAGCCUGAUCCAGCAAUGCCGCGUGGGUGAAGAAGGUCUUCGGAUCGUAAAGCCCUUUCGACAGGGACGAUGAUGACGGUACCUGUAGAAGAAGCCCCGGCUAACUUCGUGCCAGCAGCCGCGGUAAUACGAAGGGGGCUAGCGUUACUCGGAAUUACUGGGCGUAAAGGGCGCGUAGGCGGCUCUGUUAGUCAGGCGUGAAAUUCCUGGGCUUAACCUGGGGACUGCGCUUGAUACUGCAGGGCUUGAGGCCGAGAGAGGGUGGUGGAAUUCCCAGUGUAGAGGUGAAAUUCGUAGAUAUUGGGAAGAACACCAGUGGCGAAGGCGACUCACUGGCCCGUUACUGACGCUGAGGCGCGAAAGCGUGGGGAGCAAACAGGAUUAGAAACCCUUGUAGUCC